CCACCGGGUUUUAUUCUGCUCAUCACCUUUCUCCGUUGUACUUCUCUAUUUUCUCCAACAGUUCUCAGUUUCUCUCCUGGAAAUAUUAAUACUUCUGAUUGAGCUGCCACACUUCUAACAAAAUUCGUAUGAUCGCUAAAAUUGCAAAAGUGCAUGGGAUAGGUUUCCAAAGAAAAUCUUUAUUUUGUUUUCCCAACUUUGGGUAUCGAGGCAUCGAAAGGUAAAACUUUGGGUAUCGAGGCAACGGAAGGCAAGCACCGCAGUAGGAUACGAUUCUUCUCAAACGGCUAUGGGUGUCUUUGUUUGUGCCUGAGAUAGCGAAAUGUAUCGUGGGAAGCAAUUGUAUGAAAAUGAGGAACGCUAUGCUGCCUUAACUCAUAUGGUAUAGAAAGAACUUUGCAUAAUUUACUGCUGCGGUGACGCAGUUUCUAUUGUUGUACUAUUUGUUAGGUGGUCUGAUUAAUGUCCUUGGAGGCAGUUCCUCUUAUUGUGCUAUUUGUUAGGUGGCCUUUUU